rnacentral:rRNA from 1 species
UUUUGUGGCCAUACUGGCUUGCCAAAGCCUCGUCAGGUCUCUGAAGCUAAACAAGGUCAGGCCUGGUUAGUACUUGGAUGAAAGUCUGCUGGGAAAAUCGGGUGCCACAGAGG